rnacentral:rRNA from 1 species
UACGUAGGGAGCGAGCGUUGUCCGGAAUCAUUGAGCGUAAAGGGCGCGUAGGCGGUCGUGACAAGUCACUUGUGAAAUCUCCGGGCUUAACUCGGAACGGUCAAGUGAUACUGUCGGACUAGAGUACAGAAGGGGCAACUGGAAUUCUCGGUGUAGCGGUGAAAUGCGUAGAUAUCGAGAGGAACACCUGCGGCGAAGGCGGGUUGCUGGGCUGAUACUGACGCUGGAGGCGCGAAAGCCAGGGGAGCGAACGGG